rnacentral:rRNA from 1 species
UAGGGAAUAUUGGUAAUGGGCGAAAGCCCGAACCAGCAACGCCGCGUGCGCGAUGAAGGCCUUCGGGUUGUAAAGCGCUUUUUGUGGGGAUGAGGAAGGACAGUACCCACAGAAUAAGCCUCGGCUAACUACGUGCCAGCAGCCGCGGUAAAACGUAGGAGGCGAGCGUUAUUCGGAUUUACUGGGCGUAAAGCGCGUGCAGGCGGCUCGAUAAGUUGGAUGUGAAAGCUCCUGGCUUAACUGGGAGAGGUCGUUCAAUACUGUCGGGCUAGAGGAUGAGAGAGGGAGGUGGAAUUCCGGGUGUAGUGGUGGAAUGCGUAGAUAUCCGGAGGAACACCAGUGGCGAAAGCGGCCUCCUGGCUCAUUUCUGACGCUCAGACGCGAAAGCUAGGGUAGCAAACGGGAUUAGAGACCCCGGUAGUCCUAGCCGUAAACUAUGUAGACUUGGCGUUGGUGGGGUAAAAUCCAUCAGUGCCGAAGCAAACGCGAUAA